rnacentral:rRNA from 1 species
AUGAACGCUGGCGGCGUGUCUAAGGCAUGCAAGUCGAACGGAUCGGUUUUAGUAGCAAUACAAGGACCGGUUAGUGGCAAACGGGUGCGUAACACAUUGGUAACCUGCCUCGAAGACGGGGACAACCUUCCGAAAGGAUGGCUAAUUCCACGAUGGUCAUCCCGAUGUAAAGUCGGGGUGUAAACGCGCAAAACGCGCUUCGAGAGGGGCCUAUGGCCUAUCAGCUAGUUGGUGAGGUAACGGCUCACCAAGGCUAUGACGGGUAGGGGAUGUGAGAGCAUGAUCCCCCUCACUGGGACUGAGACACUGCCCAGACACCUACGGGUGGCUGCAGUCGAGAAUAUUCCCCAAUGGACGAAAGUCUGAGGGAGCGACGCCGCGUGCAGGAUGAAGGCCUUCGGGUCGUAAACUGCUUUUACCGAGGACGAAAUUAUGACGGUACUCGGAGAAUAAGAGGUUGCUAACUCUGU